rnacentral:rRNA from 1 species
GAUUACUAGCGACUCCGACUUCAUGAGGUCGAGUUGCAGACCUCAAUCCGAACUGGGACCGGCUUUUUGGGAUUCGCUCCACCUCACGGUAUUGCUGCCCAUUGUACCGGCCAUUGUAGCAUGCGUGAAGCCCAAGACAUAAGGGGCAUGAUGAUUUGACGUCAUCCCCACCUUCCUCCGAGUUGACCCCGGCAGUAUCCCAUGAGUUCCCACCAUUACGUGCUGGCAACAUAGAACGAGGGUUGCGCUCGUUGCGGGACUUAACCCAACAUCUCACGACACGAGCUGACGACAACCAUGCACCACCUGUUUACGAGUGUCCAAAGAGUUGACCAUUUCUGGCCCGUUCUCGUAUAUGUCAAGCCUUGGUAAGGUUCUUCGCGUUGCAUCGAAUUAAUCCGCAUGCUCCGCCGCUUGUGCGGGUCCCCGUCAAUUCCUUUGAGUUUUAGCCUUGCGGCCGUACUCCCCAGGCGGGGAACUUAAUGCGUUAGCUGCGUCACGGAAUCCGUGGAAUGGACCCCACAACUAGUUCCCAACGUUUACGGGGUGGACUACCAGGGUAUCUAAGCCUGUUUGCUCCCCACCCUUUCGCUCCUCAGCGUCAGUUACGGCCCAGAGAUCUGCCUUCGCCAUCGGUGUUCCUCCUGAUAUCUGCGCAUUCCACCGCUACACCAGGAAUUCCAAUCUCCCCUACCGCACUCUAGUCUGCCCGUACCCACUGCAGGCCCGAGGUUGAGCCUCGGGAUUUCACAGCAGACGCGACAAACCGCCUACG